GCCGAGGUGGCGGAAUAAGGUAGACGCGUCGGACUUAGGAUCCGAUGGGUUUCAAGCCCGUGCGGGUUCAAGUCCCGCCCUCGGCACCA
rnacentral:tRNA from 1 species